UCAGCAUGCCUGAGGGUGGGAUGCAAGUCCUUAGAGUGGUUGACUGCUGAGGCCUUAUUUUUGAGACAGGGUCUCUCACUUGCUGAUGCAGCAAGGCUG
rnacentral:miRNA from 1 species